rnacentral:rRNA from 1 species
GACGAACGCUGGCGGCGUGCCUAAUACAUGCAAGUUGAGCGAUGAAGAUUGGUGCUUGCACCAAUUUGAAGAGCAGCGAACGGGUGAGUAACGCGUGGGGAAUCUGCCUUUGAGCGGGGGACAACAUUUGGAAACGAAUGCUAAUACCGCAUAACAACUUUAAACAUAAGUUUUAAGUUUGAAAGAUGCAAUUGCAUCACUCAAAGAUGAUCCCGCGUUGUAUUAGCUAGUUGGUGAGGUAAAGGCUCACCAAGGUGAUGAUACAUAGCCGACCUGAGAGGGUGAUCGGCCACAUUGGGACUGAGACACGGCCCAAACUCCUACGGGAGGCAGCAGUAGGGAAUCUUCGGCAAUGGACGAAAGUCUGACCGAGCAACGCCGCGGGAGUGAAGAAGGUUUUCGGAUCGUAAAACUCUGUUGGUAGAGAAGAACGUUGGUGAGAGUGGAAAGCUCAUCAAGUGACGGUAACUACCCAGAAAGGGACGGCUAACUACGUG